CCUCAGCUCAAGUUUAUGUUUUCUAUUUAAUUGUUAUCUUUCUGCCAUGACACAGGACAUUGAGUCUAUAUCACACAUUGGACAGGAGGCAGUUAUAGUUGAUUGUUAUCAACGCCCAGCUCCAACAUAGCUGGAACAGCUCGAGCAAGUUUCUAGUUUCUACAAAAUUCAUAGUGUUGGUUGUGAGCUCUCUAGACCCCAGUUAAGUGCUGUAAUUGCCCUUAUCUCCCUCUUGAAUGUCUGGAAACUUCACUUGUCAAAAAUCCUGAUAUGACUAAUGCAAGUAGCCAACUACUGCUUCUUGACAAAAUUCUUCAAGAGAUCAGCAACAAGAGGUUAAGAGUCAUUGUUCCUUUUCAGUGAUUCUCUCGAUGCUCUUCUUUAAUCAGUUACUUUGGGGGCACACCUUAAUUUUCUCAGCUCAGCAUGAUCUUAAACAUUUUUGUUUUUGUUUUGCGGUUGUCUGGUGGAGUAGGUGCAAACCCAAUGGGCGAUAUUCUGAAAGAUGUUGCGCGUCCCAGAUUUGGUCCUGAGUCGUUCACAGAUUUGGUACCAGAGUCAUAUGAAUGUGUUAAAUGUGGUGCAGUGAUGCCAAGUAAAACUGGCGACAAUUAAUAUGUUCACUGACAAGACCAAGGGGAGAUUUGUUUUUCAGUUUGACUCCUUCAAAAGGCAUCUAAUUUGUUGCGAACCAAACAUGAAUAGUUUUUCAUAUCUUAGCUGUCAAAGAUUUAUGAUUUUGUUGAACAAAUACACACCGAGAAGUUCGACCAAAUACUUUGUAAACCGACAUCUAUCUAGAAGCACAUGUUGAAGUA